GGACGAAGGACUUACUCUUCGGAGUGAGAGCGUACACAGGUGCUGCAUGGCUGUCGUCAGCUCGUGUCGUGAGAUGUUGGGUUAAGUCCCGCAACGAGCGCAACCCUGCAUUCAGUUGCCAUCGGUAAGGCCGGGCACUCUGGAAUGGACUGCCGGCGACAAGCCGGAGGAAGGUGGGGAUGACGUCAAGUCCUCAUGGCCUUUAUGACCAGGGCUACACACGUACUACAAUGGCCGAUACAAAGGGCAGCGACACUGCGAGGUGAAGCCAAUCCCGUAAAAUCGGUCUCAGUCCGGAUUGGAGUCUGCAACUCGACUCCAUGAAGUUGGAAUCGCUAGUAAUCGUGGAUCAGCAUGCCACGGUGAAUACGUUCCCGGGCCUU
rnacentral:rRNA from 1 species